rnacentral:rRNA from 1 species
AUGACCAGGUUGAAGUUCAGGUAACACUGAAUGGAGGACCGAACCGACUUACGUUGAAAAGUGAGCGGAUGAGUUGUGGGUAGCGGAGAAAUUCCAAUCGAACCUGGAGAUAGCUGGUUCUCUCCGAAAUAGCUUUAGGGCUAGCCUCAAGUGAUGAUUAUUGGAGGUAGAGCACUGUUUGGACGAGGGGCCCUUAUCGGGUUACCGAAUUCAGACAAACUCCGAAUGCCAAUCAAUUUAACUUGGGAGUCAGAACGCGGGUGAUAAGGUCCGUGUUCGAAAGGGAAACAGCCCAGACCACCAGCUAAGGUCCCAAAAUAUAUGUUAAGUGGAAAAGGAUGUGGCGUUGCCCAGACAACUAGGAUGUUGGCUUAGAAGCAGCCAUCAUUUAAAGAGUGCGUAAUAGCUCACUAGUCGAGUGACACUGCGCCGAAAAUGUACCGGGGCUAAACAUAUUACCGAAGCUGUGGAUUGUCCGUAAGGACAAUGGUAGGAGAGCGUUCUAAGGGCGUUGAAGCAUGAUCGCAAGGACAUGUGGAGCGCUUAGAAGUGAGAAUGCCGGUGUGAGUAGCGAAAGACGGGUGAG